rnacentral:lncRNA from 1 species
CCACAGAACCUUCACCAAUAGAAUGGACUUCUUCCUCAGAAUCUUAACGUCACGAUCCAGAACUUGAACCGGCUCCUCCUCAAAGGUCAAGUCUGGCCUAACCUCAAUCUCCUCAAGAGGGAUAAUAUGCGUGGGAUUAGAGCGGUAGUGCCUCAACACCAAUACAUAGAACACAUCGUGAAUAUGGUCUAACUUUAGAGGUAACUCCAACUGAUAAGUGAC